GACGAACGCUGGCGGCGUGGAUUAGGCAUGCAAGUCGAACGGUAUCAUCCUUUCGGGGGUGAGAGAGUGGCGAACUGGUGAGUAACACGUAGGUUAUCUACCCUCAAGACGGGGACAACCCAGGGAAACUUGGGCGUAAUACCGGAUGUGAGCAACUUUUAGUUGUUUGAAAGGUGGCGUAAGCUGUCGCUUGGGGAUGAGCCUGCGUCCUAUUAGUUAGUUGGUGAGGUAACGGCUCACCUAGGCAAUGAUAGGUAGGCGGCCUUAACGGGUGGUCGCCCACACUGGGAUUGAGAUACGGCCCAGACUCCUACGGGAGGCAGCAGUCGAGAAUAGUCUACAAUGGUCGGAAGACUGAUAGUGCGACGCCGCGUGAACGAUGAAUCCCUUCGGGGUGUAAAGUUCUUUUAUAUGUGAGCAGUGCUUCUUAUAUUAACAGUAUGGGGAGAGAGAUAUUAGCAUAUGAAUAAGCAACGGCUAACUCCGUGCCAGCAGCCGCGGU
rnacentral:rRNA from 1 species